GCUUGCGGCCAUACCACCUUGUCUGUGCCCGCUCUCGGAAGCUAAACAGGGUUGUGUCUGGUUAGUACUUGGAUGGGAGACCGCCUGGGCAUACCUGGUGCUGUAAGAU
rnacentral:rRNA from 1 species